AAAGCAGUUAAUGUUAAAUUCUGCCUUUCAUUUAUACUCAAGCAUCAACACUGUGCGCAGAGCCUUGCAGAGAGUCAGGAGGCAGCAAGUGUUAUGCAAGAAGUCAAUGACACAGCUGGUCAGCAAUAAGUCAUUGAAGAUGGUGGAUGGACUACUGAGAUUUCUGUGGAAAGUCAAGAGAGUCUGCAUGAGGACCAUGACUGAUGAUGAAGAGGAGGAGGAAGUUGGGAAUGAGAGUUCUACGGUGAGUCAAGAGAAUCAAGAUGAGGACCCUGACAAUGAAGAGGAGGAAGAUAUGAAUGAGGAUAUUUCUGAGAGUGAGGAGAAUCCAGAUGAAUGCCAUGAAAAUGAAGAGGAGGAAGAUAUGAAUGAGGUAAUAUAUUCAUAUGGUCAUUCAAACUAACAACUGUCACAACAACAAAUCGUAAUUCUUCUGUCAGUAUGAAGUUGUUCAAAAUGAACAAAUCGUUCACAAUUGGUAUUAAACAUGUAUUAUAUAGGACAUAACGAUUCACUGAUACAGGUCAGUCCCUUUUUCAAAUGUUUAAUAUGUGAGUGCAUCAGUCCACAAGACCUCAAACCGAUGCCGAUGUAGCAUGAUAGGAGAGAUGCACAUCCCUAAAAGUAGCCAAAGUGCUAAUUUCAUUGCUUCAUUGUGCAAGCACAUUUUUCCUAAUAAGAAGCAAUUUUAUCAACACAUUUGCACACUUGUUAUUUUUAUCAGGUUGUAAUACAUUAUUAAUGCUGCAAUAUCCCAAUAUAAUAUUAAUAUAUUACAUUGUGCAGCACCAUUGCUGAAUAAAGCAGUUUAUGUCAACUAAUGCCCAGAUUAUCUAUAACGUUGGAAGUUGGAACUGAUCCAAAACCAAUUAUCAUAUUGGGUUUUGGUACAUGACAUGGAUUUGAUUUCAACAUUGCCAUAACUUUUAUUUAUGCAGGAAAGUCAAUUAAGAACCAGCUCUUAUUUUUAAUCAAUACUCCCUAUAGAGAGGAACUUAAACUAAUCAUACAUGUUUACUUUUAUGGUGAGAGUCUCACCAUAUAUACAGUAGUAGUAUAGUGUAGCACCCACAUGAUUGUUGUCUUAUCAUUUUUUUCUUUACAAAAUACCUUCAAGAACUGGAACAACCCAUUGUACUGUGGAGCAACAGUGUCCCUUGGACAGGCCAUUCUCCUAAUCAUGGCAUUUGUUGCUACAUCUGGACUUGCCCAAGAUGCUCUAAGCCAUCUGCUACAAAUGCUUGUUUUUCUUUAACCAAAAGAUUCUCUGCUACCCCCAACUAAAUAUCUUUUUAAGAAGUUUUUCUCUCACAGAACAUUUGUUGUGAACCAUUACUGUCACGUGACUGUGACGUCGCCCGGUAUGGCGCAGCCAGGGCCCCACCCUGGAGCCAGGCCCGGGGUUGGGGCUCGUAAGCGAGCGCCUGGUGGCCCGGCCGGGCUCAGCCCGAACGGGCGACGUGGGGCCGCCUUCCCGUGGGCUCACCACCCACGGGAGGGACCAUAAGGGGCCGGUGCGAAGAGGAUCGGGCGGCAGUCGAAGGCAGGGUCGCUAGACAACCCGAUCUCUGGACACGGAAACUAGCUCUAGGGACGUGGAAUGUCACCUCGCUGGCGGGGAAGGAGCCUGAGAUCGUGCGUGAGGUUGAGAGGUUCCGAUUAGAGGUAGUCGGGAUCACCUCUACGCACGGCUUGGGCUCUGGAACCACACUCCUUGAGAGAGGAUGGACUCUUCACCACUCUGGAGUUGCCCAUGGUGAGAGGCGGCGGGCUGGUGUGGGUUUGCUUAUAGCUCCCCAGCUCUGCCGUUUGUUGUCGUCUCAUCUGACCUGCGGCCGUAUGUCUUGGACACUCGGGUGAAGAGAGGGGCGGAGCUGUCAACUGAUCACCACCUGGUGGUGAGUUGGAUCCGAUGGCGGGGGAGGAAGCUGGACAGACUCGGCAGGCCCAAGCGUACUGUAAGGGUCUGCUGGGAACGUCUGGCCGGGGUGUUGGAACUCCCACCUCUGGCAGAGCUUCGACUGGAUCCCGAGGGAGGCUGGAG
rnacentral:lncRNA from 1 species